rnacentral:lncRNA from 7 species
AGCAGCACGGCAGUAGCUGCGCCAUUGCACGCCUCCGGCCGGCGGCUGCUUGUCUUGCUGCUUCUGCCGCACAUCCGUGAUCCGGCAGAAGGUGCUUCGUUCGUUGCAGGCCUGGCGCCACGCCGUACCGUGCAAGCGCGUUUGCUGAUGUUCAUCUAAUUACUGUAUAAUAAUAUCUCCGGGCGAAAGAGCUAGCAAUCGUCGGCGGGGGAGGAGGGGCUCGAUUGCUGCUCAAGGUGAGUUGUAAUUCCUUGGCUCUGGAUUUCCCUAUCUGUUGGCUGUUCAUGGAUCAUCCAAUGGAUGGAUGGCGCUCCCUGUUCUCUACACCUGCGUGCUCUUCUUCCCUCGCCUCGCCGGGGUCUUGUGUCAGUUACUGUAUCUCCCUGUUGAUUUUAAAAUCUAAGAAGCAACAACAAAAGAUGAUUCAAAAAAAUAUUCAAAUUUGAAGGACCACAAUGCGUGUGCUACUGCUAGCUAUGCUACCAUUAGAGCAUGCCUUCACUGCAUUCUUCUUCUUUUGUUACGAGUGCUUAAUCUCAUGGCUCGCUCCCUUAAUUCUUGCUACCAUUAGAGCAUCUUCAAUACUUUCUAAAAAAAACCACUUGACAAACUAAUGAAAUCAGUUGGUAAACUAAUAAGUUUCACGAGUGACUAAAAAAAAGAUAGGAGCUAGCUUCUAGUCCUAGAUAAUGCUCUUAUGAGCUUUCCUUGUCCAGUUGUCCCAACUCCCAACGAACAAAAAAAAAAAGGUAAGAAAACACAUUUGGCCUUUCUUCUUUUUUCUUUUCAACUCAAAACGAUCGCUCAGU